CAGCCGCCGCGGGAAUACAGAGGGUGCAAGCGUUAAUCGGAAUUACUGGGCGUAAAGCGCGCGUAGGUGGUUUGUUAAGUUGGAUGUGAAAUCCCCGGGCUCAACCUGGGAACUGCAUUCAAAACUGACUGACUAGAGUAUGGUAGAGGGUGGUGGAAUUUCCUGUGUAGCGGUGAAAUGCGUAGAUAUAGGAAGGAACACCAGUGGCGAAGGCGACCACCUGGACUAAUACUGACACUGAGGUGCGAAAGCGUGGGGAGAAAACAGGAUUAGAUACCCCCGUAGUCCCUGUCUCUUAUAC
rnacentral:rRNA from 1 species